AACGAACGCUGGCGGCAGGCUUAACACAUGCAAGUCGAACGAGAUCUUCGGAUCUAGUGGCAGACGGGUGAGGGACACGUGGGAACAUCCCUUUCAGUUCGGAAUAACGUUGGGAAACUAACGCUAAUACCGGAUACGUCCUUCGGGAGAAAGAUUUAUCGCUGAAAGAUUGGCCCGCGUCUGAUUAGCUAGUUGGGGAGGUAACGGCUCACCAAGGCUACGAUCAGUAGCUGAUCUGAGAGGAUGAUCAGCAACAUUGGGACUGAGACACGGCCCAAACUCCUACGGGAGGCACCAGUGGGGAAUAUUGGACAAUGGGCGCAAGCAUGAACCAGCCAUGCCGCGUGAGUGAUGACGGCCGUCGGGUCGUAAAGCUCUUUUGUCCGGGAAGAUAAUGACUGUACCGGAAGGAUAAGCCCCGGCAAACUUCGUGCCAGCCGCCGCAGUAA
rnacentral:rRNA from 1 species